AUACCAGCACCCCGAGUGGUCGGGACGAUUAUUUGGUCUAAAGCAUCCGUAGCCGGUGUAUAAAGUCCUCCGUUAAAUCCACUUGCUCAACAAGUGGUCUGCGGAGGAUACUGCUACACUAGGAGGCGGGAGAGGCGAGAGGUAUUCCACGGGUAGGGGUAAAAUCCUCUGAUCCGUGGAGGACCACCAGUGGCGAAGGCGUCUCGCCAGAACGCGCUCGACGGUGAGGGAUGAAAGCUGGGGGAGCAAACCGGAUUAGAUACCCGGGUAGUCCCAGCUGUAAACGAUGUAGGCUCGGUAAUGGAUUGGCUCCGAGCCAAUCCAGUGCCGCAGGGAAGCCGUUAAGCCUACCACCUGGGGAGUACGGCCGCAAGGCUGAA
rnacentral:rRNA from 1 species